rnacentral:rRNA from 1 species
CCUACGGGGGGCUGCAGUAGGGAAUCUUCCACAAUGGGCGAAAGCCUGAUGGAGCAACGCCGCGUGGGUGAAGAAGGUCUUCGGAUCGUAAAACCCUGUUGUUAGAGAAGAAAGUGCGUGAGAGUAACUGUUCACGUUUCGACGGUAUCUAACCAGAAAGCCACGGCUAACUACGUGCCAGCAGCCGCGGUAAUACGUAGGUGGCAAGCGUUAUCCGGAUUUAUUGGGCGAAAAGGGAACGCAGGCGGUCUUUUAGGUCUGAUUGGAAAGCCUUCGGCUUAACCGGAGUAGGGCAUUGGAAACUGGGAAACUUGAGUGCAGAAGGGGAGGGUGGAACUCAUGUGUAGCGGUGAAAUGCGUAGAUAUAUGGAAGAACACCAGUGGCGAAAGCGGCUCUCUGGUCUGUAACUGACGCUGAGGUUCGAAAGCGUGGGUAGCAAACAGGAUUAGAUACCCUAGUAGUC